rnacentral:rRNA from 1 species
UACAGAGACCUCGAGCGUUAUCCGGAAUCAUUGGGCGUAAGGCGUACCGACAGGUGGUUAAGAAAGUCAGAGGUGAAAUUCCAAGGCUCAACCUUGGGACUGUCCUUUGAAACUUCUUAACUAGAGGGGCAAAGAGGAAGCUGGAACGAACGGUGUAGUAGUGAAAUGCGUUGAUAUCGUUCGGAACACCAAUAGCGUAGGCAGGCUUCUGGGUGCCACCUGACACUGCUAGGACGAAAGCGUGGGGAGCGAAUGGG